rnacentral:rRNA from 1 species
UACGGAGGGUGCAAGCGUUAAUCGGAAUUACUGGGCGUAAAGCGUGCGUAGGCGGUUCGUUAAGUCUGUUGUGAAAGCCCCGGGCUCAACCUGGGAAUGGCAAUGGAUACUGGCGAGCUAGAGUGUGUCAGAGGAUGGUGGAAUUCCCGGUGUAGCGGUGAAAUGCGUAGAGAUCGGGAGGAACACCGGUGGCGAAGGCGGCAUCCUGGACCGGUAUUGACGCUGAGGCGCGAAAGCCAGGGGAGCGAAACGGGAUUAGAUCCCGUGGUAGUCAACGAG